CUCCCGGUCUGGGUGUGGGCCUCAGGCCGGUAGGGGCGGUCGGCGUCACCGCGGUUCCCCAGCUCGAGCCUUUGCCAACAGCGUUGUCCAAUCAGAUACGGAAGGCCGUCACAACCAAUGGGAGCAAGACAUGGCUGAAGAAAGCCAGAGUGAUUGAUGUGGACUCCAGCCAAUGGGAGUGAAGGUGGCAGCGCGCAGACGCUCCGGGCGUGCGCCCCAUCCGGGGGCGGGCGGGUUGAGCGGAGGUGAAGAUGGCGGCGAAAGGGUAGCGGUGGAGAAAUGGGAAGCUGCAGGCGGAGCAUGAAGCUGAACUGUGGCGGAGGAAUGGUGAAGGAAUGGCGAAGUGCUUUCGGGACGGCGGCUGGAGAGCGACCCCGGGGCGGCAGGUUGGUGACUCCUUGCUGUUGUUAGACCAGAAGUUUGAGAUCUGCACUCCAUUCAUGGCUGUAACAACCAUGUCAGAUUUGCUGUCACAAGACAGACACUGCAUCAACACACCCUCUCUCUUCCUCUUUUGGUUGUAAGAAACAGCGCGAUCUGAAGAGGCCUGGAUUAACAGCUGUCCACAUUUGGCUUCAGCUUUCUCUCCACAAUUACCAUCUCUGAGAAACAGUGGCAUUCACAAUUGAUUCUGAGCCGCACGAAGACCUGCUAGCAUCCCAACAUUCCAGCAUUCAAACAAAAGGUGCUGCUGUUUGUCAUUACUCCUGUGUACUUCGUGAAAAGAUCCAGCAGUUGUACUGGUUGUUGAAUUCCUUUUCCUACAACUCAGAACUGCCCAGAUUUCAUGCCAAUGAUUAGCUUUGUGCAAGAAGGUGGCAGAUCAAAGUUACAAGCCACGCUGCCGCGCCCUGUGCUGAGGAGUGACCUUGUCUGGCUGAAUUUAAUUGUUCUCCCGGUGCCCUUUUACCGUACUGCUGAAAAUCAAGUUACUGAUCUUCAUGUGAAUGGUCAUUUAAAAUCCCACCAUUAUGUUCCCGUCUUGGCAUGUGGCAGGUUCAGUGUACAUUCCUGGUCACCAGAGGCAGUGGCCAGCGGCUGACCUGCUGCAGCUUUGCAUCAUCGUGUACCGUGGCACAGUCUUCUUCGGAGACAGUUGGGCAACGAGCAUCUGAAACAAUGUCUCCCUUGUAUUCAGUCACAGGCUGUCUGUUGCUAAAUUCGCAGUGGUGACUUCCCUUCCAUUUUGGGAAAGCUCCAGCUCCCAGGUGUGCAGCCAUUUGACGCUGUUUCAGUUUGUGAAUUGAGUGUCUAGGAUUGCACCAAGUUCAGGUUAGCCCUUGAGAUCAAAGAGAAGGUUCUGUGGUAAUAAGAUGGGACUUAACCUCCCUCCGCCCUUUGAAAUGCCCAUCACUUUUGUUUAAGCGUAAGAAUGUCGAUUAACCCCCCCCCCAUUCCCCCCAAACCCUUCAGAGCUGUAGUUCAAAAUACUGCAAGUUUUUAUCAGUGCUCUUGCCCCAGAUGCAGGCUCUUCUCCUUUGGACUGUGUGUUUGCAGCUUUUUCUGCUUGUAGUCUCUCAGUUGACAGGCAGUCGGGUGCCAAGGGAAAAGACUGGUUGGUACAUUAUGGAGCACUGUGUUUACCCCCUCCCCCCCUCCUCACACACACCUUUUGGCACACUGCAAUUGUUGCUUGGUAUGUAAGUCAAAAUGAGAGCUGGGAAAGGUGACAUUGUAAGAGUGGGUUAGGCAAAGCCAUGAGUGUGUGAAAGAAGUAAAAAUGGUCAUUCCUAACCAAGACAAGAUAUCCGUGAAGACUUUUCUGAAUUCUUGAGGGAAAUCUGUGCCUUCCAUUUGAGUUGUUCUCCCUAUGUUCUAGCGUCCAGAGUCAAGAGAUCUGUUCAGUUUCAUGGGUUGUAGGUUCUGGUUCUGCUUUCAGACUGAGCAGUGCGGGAUAUCUGCCGGGACCAGUAUGCACCAUCUUGGAGAUCAGUGUUUGAGAAAACACUGCAAGCAACUUUGAUUCCCACUGGACGUCCAAACACCACGUCAGCCCUAAUCCACAGUGGGGGGGGGGGGGUGAAAUGCAUAAAUAUAUAGAUAAACUUUCUUCAAUCACAUGCUCCAGUUUGAAGCGAGCUCUGUACUGUGAAGGCAGGGUGUCAGGUUCAAACAGCGGGUUGUCUGGGUAGUCUGCUUCUUUAAAAGAGCUUUCCUGGAACUGGUCUGGUCUGUGUUGAUUUUGAUAGCUAUAAUAGUGGCAUUGGGGCCGGAGAGGAUGUGGGCUGUUGUAUAUAGUGCAGUAUUGGUAGAGUAGACUGCUCCCCUUUCCCCUCCCAAACCCUAUUUUUUUAGAUCUUUUAGUCUUGCAUUUAUUUUUUAAUUUUUAGUAUUCAUUUAGGUAAAAGUUCGGGCUGUGCAAUAUUAUAACGUGAAAAGAUGUGUCACGACGAGUUUUUUUAAGAGAAAAAAACAGAACAACAAAAUCACCAAUGUCUUCCAUUUGGAGAUGUAUAGUUCCACGCCACUUUAGUGCUUCAGUAGCAGCUGUAGUGCCAAACGUUAGAGGCAGUGCAUGAGGUUAGCGGAGCUUGCCAUGAGCAGUUUAACCGAAAUUUUUUUUUUAAAGUGGGGUUUAGCUUAAUGAACUAACCAGAAUUCAGGUUUAAACAGCAGACUGGUUUGAGGGAUUCAGGAUGGCCUCAUACCCAUUCUUUCAGUCUCUCCAUCUCUUGAGCUUUGGCUUUGCAAUGAAAUGUUGAUGCUUCAGAUAGGCCACUGCUUGCUUUGGGGAAGGCAAUGAUUCCUUUUAUGGAUCUUCAGAAAACCUAGUGAGUUGGGAGUGAAGGGGGAGGGGUGAUCUUGCUGGUGGGAGUGUCUGUCCCAACACCUGGAGCAAGUGAACAUCCAGUUUCCCAUUCCACGAACAAAGUGAUAUGUAACACAGAUAUGAACAAUUAGCUUCUGAAAAUACUACCAGUAACAUUUCAAAGCUUUAUGCGUAAGAAAUCUAGAAAUUACAUCCUCUUGGUGACUUGUUUGUGCAAGGAGGAAAGGGGUAUGUGACUGAUGAGGGAAGUUUAGGCACCACAUUAUCCUUUGUCCACACAUCUUGUUGUUAGGAGUCCCACCAUGUGUAGAGUUCACAGUACUGUGUCCAGCAGUACAUCCAUCUACUCUGCAGCUCUGUCAUUGGUUCAGAGUGGUUUCCUACCACCUUGCAGCCUGACACUGGCUUCUGCAAGGCUUCCCAGGGAAGGACCUUUGCUCGGAAAUGGGCCUUUGAUUUUUUUUAAAGUAAGUUUGGAAUGAGGAAAAGAUGAAAGCUGCCCAUGACGGUGAAUCUGCCACAUGAGGGGAUCUUAAAGAGGGUUUCUUGAACAGCCUUUUACGUUGAACAUUUUUGAGAGCUGAGCCUGGAGCUGGCUAGUUGGUAGUGCUUUUAAUGCUGGUUCUCUAAUACAGAGUGGCAGCGUAUGUGCACAGAAUGCUGAUUUGUCACAAUUUACUUUGCUUGUUCUUGAUCCUUUGUUGUGAUGAGGGUGGAUUUUAGUGCCAUUUAUUGAGCAUCUGGAGGCUUUGAAGCAGUUAAUCGCACAACCCUGUCUUGAAACAUCCUUCACGCUAACUGAGACUAACUUCACGAAGGUCAGAUUAAUACUACGGUCCCUUUUCUUUUUUAAAAAUAGUGCUUUGCAAAACAAUUCUGCUUUGGAUAAGAUUAUUAAAUACCUCCUGGGUUUCAACUACAAAUGAAACUCUUAGCACAAAUUGUAGUCACACUAAAAUGCAAAUAAAGCCAUAUGAUUUUAGAGUAUCUGCCAUUAGAAGCAAUAACUGUUGUAUGUGUGUUAGUAAUGCUGUACGGUAUAAGAGAGGAAGGCCUUGGAACGAACUGGCUGUAGAAUGACCAAACGGACCUCAACUCAGUUAUUCUGGUACAGGCUAUCAUCUAAUCCUGGAAACCUUGACUUCAAAGGGACUGGAAUAUCUCUGUAUUUGGCUGGUACAAGUCCAGCAGCAAUAUCUGUGGCUGACAAGGAUCUGAAUGCUUGGCUGGUUCUUGCAGUCAUCUCUCCGACACCCCAGGAGGAGCCUGUCUCAGAACUGCAGCACUCGAGUACUUCUGGAAAAAGGACAAAUGCGAGACAACGGUCUUAAUGGAUAUGACCCAGAGCAAUCGAUCCCAAGAAGUUCAGUCCUGAGUACAGCACACUUUUCAGACUCUAAAUGCUCCUCCUUCAUGAGCCAGGUGUUUGCCCAGUAUAGCAAGGGUUGCUGCCAUUAUGUUUGAGGCUCAUCGCCACAGGCAGCUGGAGCCUGAGUGGAAAGUCUCUGCUAGAUGCUGGCAGAACCUUGGACUGAUCAUAAGAACCUGGGAAAAAGAGGGUCACAUCUUCAAAAAUGCAUGUUCACAAAUGUACAGUAUAUAAUAGCCAAGUCUGUAACAAAAUCUGUCCACUGCAUAACACACUGAGCAAUAGGAAUUAAAAUGUAUGGCAGAUGUACCAUCCUGUUUGCUGUCCAGCCAGCAAAGCUGAUUGUGUUUCAGGAGACAGAGAGGGCGAGGUAUUGAGCUGGCAGGACAGUGAUUGUAUGGGGCUGAGGCACCAGCUCUGACUCAGGCACUGGUUCUGUGUUUAGUCUCAUUUUACCAGCAGCUUCCUCCAGUCCAUGGUCAUUCAGCUGCUGGUUUGUUUUGCCUCACAAGCUGUUUGUGUCUUUAUCCAGCUCUCCCUCUCAGUCGGGCACCAACAACUUCUACCCUGUCCAUUCUCGCUGAUCAGGAGCCGUGGAUCUAUACCGAAGAAUUUUUCUAAGUCAGCCCAGGUCCUUGUAGUGGCAAGGUUGAGAACACUUCUGCUCACUCUGAGAGGUGUAUGUUGUGUCUUUUUCUCAGACUGUAGAUAGUGUAUCUGUUCUCCCUAACUGGCAAUUUAAAGAUGUUCUGCUUUCCCAAGCAGUGAGUAGUAAUGUUCCAUUCCCCCCUCUUCACUCCGAGGAGCGGGAUUAGCUUGGGUUCCAUUUUUCCAGUGGAGGGAAUCUCUCCCUCCCUGUUUCCUGGUUUUCAAGCUGGUGAAAUUGGGUAAAAUCUGGUACAUUUCCAAUACUCACCGUAGCCACUGAUAGAGACAGCAGUAUGUGGAGGCUUUCUUGCAUUGCUGUCCCAGUUCAUUAGGCUCUGGUUCUUCCCUUUAGUGAGGGCCCAGUGCUCAUUGGCUGACUCAUCUGGCCUUCCUCCCCAGAGAAGCCAUUCCUUUCCCUACAAUAAAAUCCUUCAUCAUUUUCAGGACUCCUUAGAGGCGGUCUGAGUGGCUUCCAUUAUUAUAAUUUUUUUUGUUUUUCUUCAAAAAUUGGCAGUUUAUUCAGUGUCAUCUGAAAAUUUGGAAAUUGUUUUCAAGUCCAAACUAUAACUCAUUAUGCACAACCAUUCCCAAGGACUGACUCUGAACUGCAGUCAUCCACACCUGGAAGCAGCUGCCUAUUGAUUCUAUCUUUCUUGUUAAUCCAUUAUAGCUAUCUACUGAAAUUAAAUCAAUUACUAAUGUAUAUUCCUUGUUCACUUCGAUACUUUUUCAAAGUUGGUUGAAGAAGGUUUCAGGUUGAAUUUGUGCUGACUUCAUUAUGGAAACAGAAAAGGCUGGAAAUACUCGGCAGGUUCAGCCACGUGGGAAGAGACAAAAAGUUAACAUUUUCCCAUAGAUGUCGCAUAUUUCCAGUGUUUUCUCUCCAUUUUAAAUUUCAAUUUUUUUUAUUCACAGACAAUUCAAUUUUUGGUUUCUCCUUUAGUGUGAAUCAUUACUCUGCACUUGUAAUCCAAUUAGUCUAUAGUUUCCUGGGUGCUCUCAAUCUUUUAUCAGUGCUGCAUUAGCUUCUGUUUUUACUUUUUUUAAAGAAAUUACUCAAUGUAUUUAGAAGUGCCUCUUCCAUAUUUUAGGACAUGUGUAAUCUGUCCAGAUUGAGAUUUUGUUAGAAACAAUGUAUUUUAUUAUUUUUUUAAACAUCCCUUCUGAGGUAAUUGCUGGUGUGUUUUCAAAUGCCCAUCAGCGAUGUCUGCUACAAGUUGAUCUGUUCAAAAGUCGGGAUGGGAAGCUUCACUGAGGGUAACCUGGUGCUUGAUGCAGCUGUCCAUAUACAGCUUAAAGUGCAGCCAGCUGACUACAUUCAGUCCCAGGUUUCCCUUUGUACAAGUCAUGUGUAGUGCCUGAUUCAAGCUGGUGUGAUUAAGUGCUAUAUUGGAGCACGCUGCCUCAGUCCUCAAAUGUGUCUGUUCAAUAAAUGCUGUGUUUCACUGGGUUUAUAAAACAUUCUGCUGUCUAAAUUUGUUAUUUGAUUUUUUUUUAAUGGAAUACCAGUGCUAUAUGUUUUCUAGAUGCAUGAGGCAGCUUGCAUUAAACUAUGCAUUUCAGAGAGAAGGGAUAAGAAUUGCAUGAAUCGCUCAUAUGUAGAAUGAUCCCUGGAGCAGUUUAAUUGCUCUAAUUUCACCUCUGUACAGAACUAACAGCAAUAAAAGACCCGUGUUCCAAGGGUGCACCAGUGUUUA